GCACAGGAAGCCACCUGGGAGAGUAAAGCCAACUACAUGCUGGAAUACAUGAGCUCUUAAUAAGGCAACUUGGCUGCCCAAGACCAAGCCCCACCAAGAAGCUGGAGGGCCAGGCGAGUCCAGGAUGGGCAAGCAGGGAGGCACGAGAAGGAGAAACAGAGACUUCUAAGGAUGGAGAAAGGAUCUGGCUCAGCAGAGGGCUCUGUGCAGAGGGGACCAUGUGAGCAUGACUCCUGUGGGGAGGUGACUGCUGAGAAUGUAGGGUGUGUUCCAGGAACCAGGGUUGAACAGGAAAGCAGGGAGAGUAGCAGAGCCCCUGAUGCCUCCUAGUCACCUUCUAUCUUGGGAAGAACACAGAACUGAACUGCUUGCUAUUCUCCAAAGUCCCCCGCUAAGAUAUAUACACCUGGCUCUGGGACUCGCCUUUCCUGGGUGUGUUCUUCCCUCCCUCCACUCCCCAAUUCCAGGCCCAUGAGUGAGGGCUAGGGCCUGUCUUUGGGGAGCAGAUCCCAACGGGCCCGCCCCACCUCUCCCCCUCGGCAGGCUGCCACACUCCCUGCCUGUUGGGGCCCAUCCCAGUCUUUGCCCAGGGGCUUGGGAGCCUGUGCAGCAGCUGCAGCAACUGAUGGGCCCAGACCUGUCCUGCUCCCACCCUCUGGCAGCUGGGCAAGGCUGAAGCCAAGGAAGAGGGCCCCUACUAGGGGCAGGAGGAGGGUACAGUCAAGCUGGGGCUGGCGGCACAAGGGGUAUGUAGGGGUUGUCAAAGGAGGCAAUCUCACUCCCAGGGAGAAGGGGCCCCCAUCUCUGAAUUCAAAAUGUGGCUUCCUCAUGGAAGUGAAGAUCUGCCCCAAUAUUGCCAUGCCAGGGGGUCCCAUCAGAGCCGUUCUUUAGAAAACCUUGGACAUUAUGGGAAGAGCAAAUGAAACUGCUCAGGCAUGUUGGCCUUACCUCAUCUAACCCAGCAUAUCUACACCUAUGUUCUUCCUGCUCUUUUAUUGCAGUUUCUCUGAGUUCCUUUCUUCCUUUUGGCUCUGAUGGUUCAGCCAAAAAGACUUCUUUACUAGCCACCUCUCCUGGGCCUCAAAACAAAACUGCUAAAUGGGCCCUGUCAUUCAGUCUUCCUUGAUCAAAGCGGUUUGGCAUCAUCUCCCCUGGGCUUUCCUCUCGGUGGAUUUGGAAGUGGGGAAAAGAAUGGGGGUGGAGGUUGGGGGUUGAGUUAUGCAGCGCCCUUGUGGCCUGCCGCCCUGCUACCUCUGAACCUCCUACCCAACCAUCCCUCCCUGGCCGCGUUCCUCUUCCUAUUCACUUUUCCAGCCAUAGAGUUCUACAGCAUGGGGUCCAGGAGUGGGGCAUGAGUGGUGAGAAGAGAUGCUUGGAAAAGUGAAAGAGGCCCACAGCCCUCAGGGGGUAAGCCUGCCACUUCUUUCCAAUCACAGUCAUAUUCGAAGUUUUUUAGGUGUGUAGUAGAGCCUGUGAAUUGUGACUAAAAGAUCUUUCAAGGCCCUGAUGUUCCUCAUAGCUGAAACAUAUAAUCAAUCAAUACUUUUGGAACAGAGUAGGGGAGGGAGCCAGCGACCAGGUUUCCUCGACAGCGUCAGGAAGUAAGGCGCUACUUCUAGCCGGAAUUCUGAGAGGUUAUAACCAGAAUUCAAGAUCAGGUUCUUUCUGGCAAUAACACAGGGUCGUUAUCCAUCCAGAGGUAAUGGUGUCCCAGCAGUCAUCGCUUUUGCCCUGACUUCCGGAGGAUGGGGAAAAUAGAGGCUGGUACUACUGGGUCUCUGAUUAAAUGCCCACGCACGCACCUAGCCAACAGGACUGGGGAGGGACAGCGGUUAGGUCCCAGGACGCUCCAUCCCGCCUCCCAGGCUCCAUUUCCCCGACAGCCGCCACUACUCUUGUGUGUGCUAGGGAGCGCCCCCCAUCCCCGAACCCCACCCCUCCGCCCGUGGCACCUGGAGCGCCCGGGCAGGAGUCGGCACGCACGCGGCCCGCCUGCCCCGCCCCCCCACCCGCGCAUUCUCCGAAUUCCUGCGGGCGGAGCCUGGGCCCGGGUGGGGGCGCGGCGCGCACAGACCUCCAGGGGCACCGCCGUGAAGGGGGGAGCAGCUUGGGGGGGAUGCGCCCUCACUGCCCCACUUGGUCCUUUCCCUACGAGGCCUCCUGCCGCGAAAAACCGAGCUUCAAAUGCUUGAGAAACAGACUCACGCGAUACCAGGAGGGUUGAAUUUAGCAGAAAUAAGGAGCCCUGGUUCAUCUGAACACUAGCAGGAAGGGGACAGUGCUCUGGGGCCGCCCCCAUCCAUCCCUCUUGUUUCUUUCCUAGUCCCGCGUCUUCACUUCGGACCCCGGGGCGCCGGCACUUUGGGCCGUCGGGGCAGUGGAGAACCGAAUGCCGUGACGGGUCCCUUCCCGUCCCUAACCACUUCCCUCACUCACCG